rfam:Brachypodium distachyon strain Bd21 chromosome 3, whole genome shotgun sequence.
AUAAUACUCCCUCCGUCCAACAAAAGAUGUCUCAAGUUUGUCAAAAUUUGGAUGACUUAGUGUAUAGAUGCAUUCAAAUUUGGUCAAAGUUGAGACAUCCUUUGUUGGACGGAGGGAGUAAGUG